rnacentral:rRNA from 1 species
GGUCAAGUGAAGAAGCGCAUACGGUGGAUGCCUUGGCAGUCAGAGGCGAUGAAAGACGUGGUAGCCUGCGAAAAGCUUCGGGGAGUCGGCAAACAGACUUUGAUCCGGAGAUGUCUGAAUGGGGGAACCCAGCCAUCAUAAGAUGGUUAUCUUAAGCUGAAUACAUAGGCUUAAGAGGCGAACCAGGGGAACUGAAACAUCUAAGUACCCUGAGGAAAAGAAAUCAACCGAGAUUCCCUUAGUAGUGGCGAGCGAACGGGGACUAGCCCUUAAGUGGCUUUGAGAUUAGCGGAACGCUCUGGAAAGUGCGGCCAUAGUGGGUGAUAGCCCUGUACGCGAAAAUCUCUUGGUCAUGAAAUCGAGUAGGACGGAGCACGAGAAACUUUGUCUGAAUAUGGGGGGACCAUCCUCCAAGGCUAAAUACUACUGACUGACCGAUAGUGAACUAGUACCGUGAGGGAAAGGCGAAAAGAACCCCGGAGAGGGGAGUGAAAUAGAUCCUGAAACCGUAUGCGUACAAGCAGUGGGAGCCUACUUUGUUAGGUGACUGCGUACCUUUUGUAUAAUGGGUCAGCGACUUAUUUUCAGUGGCGAGCUUAACCGAAUAGGGGAGGCGUAGCGAAAGCGAGUCUUAAUAGGGCGUCUAGUCGCUGGGAAUAGACCCGAAACCGGGCGAUCUAUCCAUGGGCAGGUUGAAGGUUGGGUAACACUAACUGGAGGACCGAACCGACUACCGUUGAAAAGUUAGCGGAUGACCUGUGGAUCGGAGUGAAAGGCUAAUCAAGCUCGGAGAUAGCUGGUUCUCCUCGAAAGCUAUUUAGGUAGCGCCUCAUGUAUCACUGUAGGGGGUAGAGCACUGUUUCGGCUAGGGGGUCAUCCCGACUUACCAAACCGAUGCAAACUCCGAAUACCUACAAGUGCCGAGCAUGGGAGACACACGGCGGGUGCUAACGUCCGUCGUGAAAAGGGAAACAACCCAGACCGUCAGCUAAGGUCCCAAAGUUAUGGUUAAGUGGGAAACGAUGUGGGAAGGCUUAGACAGCUAGGAGGUUGGCUUAGAAGCAGCCACCCUUUAAAGAAAGCGUAAUAGCUCACUAGUCGAGUCGGCCUGCGCGGAAGAUGUAACGGGGCUCAAACCAUACACCGAAGCUACGGGUAUCACUUAGGUGAUGCGGUAGAGGAGCGUUCUGUAAGCCUGUGAAGGUGAGUUGAGAAGCUUGCUGGAGGUAUCAGAAGUGCGAAUGCUGACAUGAGUAACGACAAUGGGUGUGAAAAACACCCACGCCGAAAGACCAAGGUUUCCUGCGCAACGUUAAUCGACGCAGGGUUAGUCGGUCCCUAAGGCGAGGCUGAAAAGCGUAGUCGAUGGAAAACAGGUUAAUAUUCCUGUACUUCUGGUUAUUGCGAUGGAGGGACGGAGAAGGCUAGGCCAGCUUGGCGUUGGUUGUCCAAGUUUAAGGUGGUAGGCUGGACUCUUAGGUAAAUCCGGG